GGGGAAUCUUGCACAAUGGGGGAAACCCUGAUGCAGCGACGCCGCGUGAACGAUGAAGCCCUUCGGGGUGUAAAGUUCUUUCGACAGGAACGAUAAUGACGGUACCUGGAGAAGAAGCUGCGGCUAACUACGUGCCAGCAGCCGCGGUAAUACGUAGGCAGCGAGCGUUGUUCGGAGUUACUGGGCGUAAAGAGUGCGUAGGCGGAGAGCCAAGUUUGGUGUGAAAUCUCCCGGCUUAACCGGGAGGGUGCGCCGAAAACUGGUUGGCUGGAGUAUGGGAGAGGAAAGCGGAAUUCCUGGUGUAGCGGUGAAAUGCGUAGAUAUCAGGAGGAACACCUGCGGUGUAGACAGCUUUCUGGACCAAAACUGACGCUGAGGCACGAAAGCGUGGGUAGCAAACA
rnacentral:rRNA from 1 species